rnacentral:rRNA from 1 species
AACGGUAACAGGAAACAGCUUGCUGUUUCGCUGACGAGUGGCGGACGGGUGAGUAAUGUCUGGGAAACUGCCUGAUGGAGGGGGAUAACUACUGGAAACGGUAGCUAAUACCGCAUAACGUCGCAAGACCAAAGAGGGGGACCUUCGGGCCUCUUGCCAUCGGAUGUGCCCAGAUGGGAUUAGCUAGUAGGUGGGGUAACGGCUCACCUAGGCGACGAUCCCUAGCUGGUCUGAGAGGAUGACCAGCCACACUGGAACUGAGACACGGACCAGACUCCUACGGGAGGCAGCAGUGGGGAAUAUUGCACAAUGGGCGCAAGCCUGAUGCAGCCAUGCCGCGUGUAUGAAGAAGGCCUUCGGGUUGUAAAGUACUUUCAGCGGGGAGGAAGGGAGUAAAGUUAAUACCUUUGCUCAUUGACGUUACCCGCAGAAGAAGCACCGGCUAACUCCGUGCCAGCAGCCGCGGUAAUACGGAGGGUGCAAGCGUUAAUCGGAAUUACUGGGCGUAAAGCGCACGCAGGCGGUUUGUUAAGUCAGAUGUGAAAUCCCCGGGCUCAACCUGGGAACUGCAUCUGAUAAUGGCAAGCUUGAGUCUCGUAGAGGGGGGUAGAAUUCCAGGUGUAGCGGUGAAAUGCGUAGAGAUCUGGAGAAAUACCGGGUGGCGAAGCGGCCCCCUGGACGAAGACUGACGCUCAGUGCGAAAGCGUGGGGAGCAAACAGGAUUAG